CCUACGGGAGGCAGCAGUGAGGAAUAUUGGUCAAUGGGCGUAAGCCUGAACCAGCCAAGUCGCGUGAGGGAUGAAGGUUCUAUGGAUCGUAAACCUCUUGUAUAAGGGAAUAAAGUGUGGGACGUGUCCUAUUUUGUAUGUACCUUAUGAAUAAGGAUCGGCUAACUCCGUGCCAGAAGCCGCGGUAAUACGGAGGGUGCGAGCGUUAAUCGGAAUUACGGGGCGGAAAGCGCUCGUAGGCGGUAUGUAAAGUCAAGGGUGAAAUCCCCGCGCGAAACGUGGGAACUGCCUUUGAAACUGGCAAACUGGAGUGUGUGAGAGGAUAGUGGAAUUCCAGGUGUAGGAGUGAAAUCCGUAGAUAUCUGGAGGAACAUCAGUGUCGAAGGCGACUAUCUGGCACAUAACUGACGCUGAGGAGCGAAAGCGUGGGUAGCAAACAGGAUUAGAUACCCCAGUAGUC
rnacentral:rRNA from 1 species